AUUGAACGCUGGCGGCAGGCCUAACACAUGCAAGUCGAGCGGUAGCACAGAGAGCUUGCUCUCGGGUGACGAGCGGCGGACGGGUGAGUAAUGUCUGGGAAACUGCCUGAUGGAGGGGGAUAACUACUGGAAACGGUAGCUAAUACCGCAUAACGUCGCAAGACCAAAGUGGGGGACCUUCGGGCCUCAUGCCAUCAGAUGUGCCCAGAUGGGAUUAGCUAGUAGGUGGGGUAACGGCUCACCUAGGCGACGAUCCGUAGCUGGUCUGAGAGGAUGACCAGCCACACUGGGACUGAGACACGGUCCAGACUCAUACGGGAGGCAGCAGUGGGGAAUAUUGCACAAUGGGCGCAAGCCUGAUGCAGCCAUGCCGCGUGUGUGAAGAAGGCCUUCGGGUUGUAAAGCACUUUCAGCGGGGAGGAAGGCGUUAAGGUUAAUAACCUUGGCGAUUGACGUUACCCGCAGAAGAAGCACCGGCUAACUCCGUGCCAGCCGCCGCGGUAA
rnacentral:rRNA from 1 species